UUUAGUAUUUUUAUUUGGAAUUAUUUGGAAAAUGGUGAAAUAUUGACAUUUGGGCCUAGAGUGGUGAUUAGCAGAAGAGGGGGUGUUGACUAAGCAAGCCCAUUAUAAUAUUUAUUUUAUUUUUCAUAAAAUAAGGAAUUUGGGGAAAAGAGGAAGGAGAAGCAGGAACUGAGUCUGAAGAAAGGAGAACACGUGAAAGUGAGAAGAGCCAAAGGGGAAGAGAACCUUCGAAGUUCGACUCUGAGAUUAAGGAUGUAGCGGCGUCUUGAUUGGGUGAAGAUAGCUUAUAGGCUAGCCCUUAGUCCGUGUCGAGUCAUGCUCUGAAUGUAACACUGGGGAACGCUAGUUUAGAGACGAGUUACUCUGUUGGUUUUGUUGUUUUAUAAUUGUAUUAGAGUAACUUGCACGAAUGAUGAUGAAUAUGCAAUGUUAUGAAUUAUAAUCCGCUGUGUUGAACAUGAAUUGUAUUUAUGUUAAAUGGUUCCUCGUGUGGCAUGACAAAUGACUAUGGUAUUUUAUGUUAAAGAAGUUGUGACAUCCUUGUAUUUCAUGUUUACUCUGAUUAUUAUUGUAUUUUCCGCGGGGGUUUAGAAGGGUGUUACAAUAGUGGUAUCAGAGCAUUGUCGGUCCUUGCGACCAGAGUCUUGUUGUUAAUUUCCUGUCGGUACGCGACAUGUGUGAGAAACACUGUCGGUACUCAGUGUGUUCUAAAUGUUUGCUUGCAGAAGUGGGAUUGAAACUAGUGGGGGAGAAGUCAUGCUUCUCGGAUAUGUCUCAGAUGCAAGAUGUUAGAGAGAUGCGUGGGGCAGUAGUACAAGAGUGUGGAGUUAUUGUUUUCUGAAGCGAAGGUGACAUGGACUGAAGACCGUGGUUGUUGUUCAGUCGGAGUGUCUCGGAGUAGAUGAUGGUUAUUUCUGAGAAAUGAAAUUUCGAAGUUGUGAUGCUUCAAGUGCUACUGACGGACUGUGAUGUUGUUGUGUGAAUAGCCUUAUGUGAAAGGUCGCUGUUGAAGCAGUGAUUAAAGGAAGUAUUGUCGUAGACCUUGUCGUAGGAUUACUAGUAAGUAAUUGAGAUGAUGGUAGAGGUUAUCGAUGUUGUUGAAAACUCUUUAAAGAGCGAGUAAUGUGAAGAGACGAGUACGAUCUCAAGGAUAAGAAGGUUGAUGAUGGCGUACAUGAAUUUGGUUUCAGGAUGUUGCAGAAAUCGAACUUCAGCGAUGAAAUGUGUUGUUUAAGUUAUAAGAAGUUUGGAAGCGAAGAGAUGUGAUAAGAUGAUGUUAAUAAUGAGAUUAAUUUGAAGAGGAUGAGUUUUGGAGCAGAAUUUUCGUAAGCAAAUCGCAGGAAGAUUGCUGAAUCGUUAUGAAACUUCGAAAAUUCAUAACUGGAGUUCUGGACAUCCGAUUUGAGUUCCGUUUGAAGCGUCGGAAAGCUAACGAGAUGAACUUUGUUAUAAAAAUGGUUGCAGCAGCUGUAACAUGUUUAAUUGUGUCAGGAUGAUGUUAGAAAGAGGUGAAGUUACGGUUACACUUGUCCUUAGAACUAGAUUGUUCGUUGGUGCGGCAUGGGAUGUCAGUGUCAGAGUUAAACAGAAUAAAGGAAUAAUGAGGAGGCUUGUUGAGAAGCAAUCUUAGAGAUUAAAUGUGCCAAUUGAGAAGUUUUGGAGAUGUCGUAUAGAGUUUCGUUGCAUGGUAUCGGUAUUGUAUCUUGGGUAACGGUUGGAAACAUUCAUAUCUUGAACUUUGAGUAUCGGAUUAGGGUGUCGUUUGAGACUACGAAGAGGUGAGAUUAUGUUAUAACUUGUGGAAGAGUUAUAAAUACAGUAGAGUGGUCCUAUGAGGAGAUAUUAUGAUGUUGGAUAAAGAGGCCUAGACCAGUGUUGAAAUAGGAAUGCUUAUUACCGCGAUUGUUCGGAACGAAGUCGAGUAGGAUAUGUCCUUAAUAAAUAAGCGGAUAAAGAUGAUUUAAAUAUUGAUGGAUUUGAGUGAUGAAGGAAUCAGUAGAAAAAGUGAAAUAGACUUUGGAACCAUUUGUGGUAUAUUGUGAUGCGUCGUUGAUGGGUUUGGAUGAUGUAUUGAUGUAAAAUCAGUAAGUAGUAACUUAUGCGUCGGGACGAUUGAAAGCGCAGAAAAGGAAUUAUCUGACUCAUGAUUUAGAUUUGGCAGCCAUGGUUUUGUUUUGAUGUUGCAGUGACAUUAUUUGUAUGGUUCAAGGUUGCCUCUAAAAUUGUCGAUACUGAUGGUGAAAGAGUUGGAUUGAAUUGAACAAUUCAGAGAAUUAAGUUUGGUAUGUGAAGGUGCUCCUACUAAUGUUGGAUUGGGUAUGCUGAGACUGACUAAUGGUAUUCUAGACAAGAUUAGAGAAAGCCAGAAAGCUGAUAAGUCGACCUCGAAUUACAAAGGUAAAGACGGCGAAUUCAGAAUUAACGAGGAUGGUGUAAUGAGGUCUAGAAGUCGCGUUUGCGUUCAAGAUGUUACCGGGUUGAGAAUUCUAGAAGAAGGACACCGUAGAGAAUUAGACAAUGUUAAUGAGUUGAGUAUAAACUCAGGAAGGACACUAUUAUGUAGUAACAACAGUUUAUGCUUAAACAUGAUUGUCGGCUAUCUAUUGACAAAUUGAGGACUUGAUCACCCUUAAUCUCUUGUUGAUAGUAGGCGGAGUCAUAUAGAUAGUAUGAGAUUGCUUGUUACCUUAAUGGUAUAAGAUGUGGUGAAGGUUGAGAGGUGAGAAUAACCACUCACCAUAUCGUGGGAACUUAUGAGGAAGUGAAUAUGAAGGGGUGCAAAGCAUUGGACGGUGACUUAAGACGAGUAGUCGUAGUCGUACAGCGAAAGUAUGAUGUAAAGUGGUGUUAUGAGUGCUACUCGUGAGUAGUGAGAAUUAAUAUGUCGGGGUUCUACAUGGAGAAUAUAUGUUGAUCUAUAGGUUGGAUUUGGAAUCUCGUAGACAUAAGGAUGUCGUGCCAAAGGAUUAGAACCCUUUUGAAUAAUUGCCGAGAUGAUGGAUAUCCUAUUAUGGUUGAAUGUAGUUAAUGAGUAUGUGUUCGAAGAAGUUAAGACAACGAGUUGAUACUAUGUAAUGCCAUAAUAAUUUUGUACUGUUGUAAGGUGUUAUGUAAAUUUAUGAAUAUAAUGUGGAAUUAUACUCUGCGAAGGACGAAGUUAAUCUGAUUCUUAGUGGAGAGUGGGACUCAAUUGAGCUACCUUGUAAGCAAUGGUAUAUUGAGGAUAAUGAGCUAUGUAAUUAUAACUACUGAUGUGUGCUUGUUCCGAUAGUGGGAAUGUUUUUAAUAGAUGAAGUAACUCGGGAAUUUGCUUUGAGUAAGUGUAAGUAUUACUUUAUCGCUCAAUUGCAAGAGUGUGCCUAAGGUUGGUACGUGAGUAAAUGGAAUCCAUUACUACAGUGUUGAUCAGUUGCGAUCAUACCAUGGAUUAUGUAAUUGUAUUAUUCAGUUGUUGAGUGUAUUGUAUGGAUCGUACCUCGAAGUUUCAUUGUCGUUAAUCGUUGGAGUAUAGCGAGUGGUAUACCCUGGGAUGGUCAGAUGCGAAGUAAGGGCGGAGAUUGAAUGCAUGAGAUAUGCUGGUGUUGGUUAUGUCAGAUGAAUUUUGAGACUCGACUAAGAAGGUGUUAACGGAGAAUGGGAGAGUCAAAUGAAGUACUCUUAUCUGGGACUUUACUUGAAGUAUGUUUUCGAGGACGAAAACUCUUUUAGUGGGGGAGAGUUGUAACACCCCAUAAUUUCAGUUUACUAAUUUAAUUUGGAUUUAAAUUAAAUAAUUGGAAUUUUAGUAUUUUUAUUUGGAAUUAUUUGGAAAAUGGUGAAAUAUUGACAUUUGGGCCUAGAGUGGUGAUUAGCAGAAGAGGGGGUGUUGACUAAGCAAGCCCAUUAUAAUAUUUAUUUUAUUUUUCAUAAAAUAAGGAAUUUGGGGAAAAGAGGAAGGAGAAGCAGGAACUGAGUCUGAAGAAAGGAGAACACGUGAAAGUGAGAAGAGCCAAAGGGGAAGAGAACCUUCGAAGUUCGACUCUGAGAUUAAGGAUGUAGCGGCGUCUUGAUUGGGUGAAGAUAGCUUAUAGGCUAGCCCUUAGUCCGUGUCGAGUCAUGCUCUGAAUGUAACACUGGGGAACGCUAGUUUAGAGACGAGUUACUCUGUUGGUUUUGUUGUUUUAUAAUUGUAUUAGAGUAACUUGCACGAAUGAUGAUGAAUAUGCAAUGUUAUGAAUUAUAAUCCGCUGUGUUGAACAUGAAUUGUAUUUAUGUUAAAUGGUUCCUCGUGUGGCAUGACAAAUGACUAUGGUAUUUUAUGUUAAAGAAGUUGUGACAUCCUUGUAUUUCAUGUUUACUCUGAUUAUUAUUGUAUUUU